rnacentral:rRNA from 1 species
UACAGAGGUCUCAAGCGUUGUUCGGAUUCAUUGGGCGUAAAGGGUGCGUAGGCGGUGGAAUAAGUUGGAUGUGAAAUCCCGGAGCUUAACUCCGGAACUGCAUUCAAUACUGUUUUGCUAGAGUACUGGAGAGGUGAUUGGAAUUCACGGUGUAGCAGUGAAAUGCGUAGAUAUCGUGAGGAAGACCAGUGGCGAAGGCGAAUCUCUGGACAGUUACUGACGCUGAGGCACGAAGGCCAGGGGAGCAAACGGG